AGAGUGAACGCUGGCGGUAGGCCUAACACAUGCAAGUCGAACGGCAGCACAGUAGGAGCUUGCUCUUACGGGUGGCGAGUGGCGGACGGGUGAGGAAUACAUCGGAAUCUACCUUUUGGUGGGGGAUAACGUAGGGAAACUUACGCUAAUACCGCAUACGCCCUUCGGGGGAAAGCCGGGGACCAGCAAUGGCCUGGCGCUGAUAGAUGAGCCGAUGUCGGAUUAGCUAGUUGGUGAGGUAAUGGCUCACCAAGGCGACGAUCCGUAGCUGGUCUGAGAGGAUGAUCAGCCACACUGGAACUGAGACACGGUCCAGACUCCUACGGGAGGCAGCAGUGGGGAAUAUUGGACAAUGGGCGCAAGCCUGAUCCAGCCAUACCGCGUGGUGAAGAAGGCCUUCGGUUGUAAAGCCCUUUUGUGGAAAGAAAGCAUUCGGUUAAUACCCGGUGUUCUGACGGUACCCAAGAAUAAGCACCGCUAACUUCGUGCCAGCAGCCGA
rnacentral:rRNA from 1 species